rnacentral:lncRNA from 1 species
UUUCUCAUAUAUAUCCCUCAUCUCCUUUCUCUCUUCUUUCAAAUUCUUAUACCUCAAUAUAUCAGCUUUUUCUUUUUUUCUUAUUAUUUCUUACAACUAUGGAAAUUGUUGCCAAGUCAAAAAAACACCACCAUUAUUAUUCUCCUUUCCCUUCUUGUUUCCGCCGCCCUUUAGAGGUAGCUGCCGCCGCCUCCGCUCGUCCUCUUCCGCCGCCGCCGCCGCCGCCGCAGCCACCGGUUGCUGCUAAUCCCAACCUCGCCACCUCCCUCUACCAAAC